UAAAAUUUUGUGUUGGCACUUGUGUUUUUAAGGGCAUUUUGGGGAAUUCAAUCUCAAGAAAAGUAAAUAUUCAUACCAAAUAGAAUAGUCAUCUUUCUUGUCAUUAUGCAUGUCCAUAAUUCUUUUGUGGUUUCGUAACAGAUGUUGAAACGCAUAACACGCAUAUCUUUCUAUAGAGAAGGUAGCUAAUUUUACAAAAUUGUUAUUCUAAUUUAUUUCUUUUAGUAGCCCAAAUUUAUUUGUAUCUGUUUUAUGACAUGGCCAGGUUCUCAGUGUUCUUAAAAGAAUAAUCAAUGAAGAUUACGUACCUACUACUAGAUUUCAUACCGAAAGAUGAUAUCUACAACAAUAGAACUACAAGGAACAAGCCCAUCAGAAUUUGUUGUUCCUUUGGCCAAAUACAACAAGUCAAUGUACACCCAAGUCUCUCUCGGUAUGAGAUUCAGGAUGAUGUUUGAGACCGAGGAGUCUGGAGUACGUAGAUACAUGGGAACAAUCACUGGCAUCAAUGAUUUGGAUCAUGUUCGGUGGAAAAAUUCACAGUGGCGUAAUCUGCAGGUUGGCUGGGAUGAAUCGACAACUACUGAAAGAAGAACAAGAGUAUCACUAUGGGAGAUUGAACCUGUGACAACUCCUUUUUAUAUAUGCCCCCCUCCCUUUUUCAGACCAAAGUUCCCUAAACAACCAGGGAUUCCAGUUUUUGCACUGGUUGGUUUCACAUGUCCAUCUUCGGAGAAAGACCAUAUCACCAUUUCCUUAUGUGUCUAAACUCUAAUUUUGAUUAGGUGAAGACCACUCUCAAAGGAUCUAUGGAGAUGAGAUUUGAGAGGAGUGACGACCCUUUGGAGAAAAUAACCACAAGUGAGCAAAUCGAAAGUAUAGCUGAGUUAUAUACGUCUCAAGGGGAACCUGUAACUGUUCGAUCUUUCUGACCAAUUCAUGCUAAGAUACUCGCCACGGUGUUUCUGAAAAAACUAUAAGAUAAUUUACUGGCACAUCAAUCAUAUUCAUUGAUGAGAUAGAUGCAAUUGCUUCCAAGCGAGAAAACCUGCAAAGGGAGAUGGAACGGCGGAUAGUAACACAACAUAUGACUUGCAUGGAUGAAUCACAUCACACUCAGUCUUCUGAUGAUUCCCAAAAACAUCUGAGAAGAAGCUUGAUUAUGUUCUUGUUAUCGGAGCAACAAACAAACCAGAUGCACUUGACCAAGCUUUAAGGAGACCUGGACGGUUUGAUCGUGAGAUUUCUUUGGGUGUACCUGAUGAAAAAACCACUGCUAGAGAUCCUCUCAGUUCUUACUCGAGAAUGUAAAUGUGUGUUUUGGAGAGAGUGGAGUCAAUGAGACAUAGUUUUAUAUAAUAAUUAUGUCCUUUUGAAGUUUUAAGUGUUUCAUAAAAUUUCAAACUGAGUAUUGCAUGAUUGCAAGGUUAGGUGAUCAA